ensembl:lncRNA
CGCCUCACUAAGUAGGCUGAGCAGAUUCCGAGCACCUACUGCUACUUCGGUGUCCUCUCUAGAUCUGUGCAGCCAUCAUGUCCGGCUGGAGUUUCUCCACUUGGCAGAUGAGAAACUGACCUAUCGCUUGGAGCCUUAUGGGGUGGAUAGAAGUGUGGUUAUUCCUACCGGCAGCCUCAAAACCUUUGGAGUAAGGUGGGAUCGAUGCUAUACGGAGGGGAUAAUGGCAUGGACAACCAGAGUGGCCCUGUACUUGCCUUGUCACAGGUCUAGGAGGAGAGACUGAGGCCAGACUUCCUGGAACAACUCCCU